rnacentral:rRNA from 1 species
AUGACGGUGGCCGAGCUAGACCCCGUCAGGGACAGGGCGCGCAUAAGAUUGACCGUGUUGGAGGCUGUUAAUCACAGCGACGUCCUGAUGGAGUCGUUAGAUUGUCCGAUGACCAAACCAGUUGCCGAGCAAACGUUGUCGCCGAUGCAGGAGCUGAACGCCGAAGGGCAGAUCUGUGAGGCGCAGGGGGCAGCGGCUGCGGAGGGAGGAGGUUCACCAUGGGCAUCCAAGUAG